CCGUACGAGCGCACCCCUAUCCCUAGUUGCUAGCAGUUCGGGCUGAGAACUCUAGGGAGACUGCCGGUGACAAACCGGAGGAAGGUGGGGAUGACGUCAGGUCAUCAUGGCCCUUACGGCCAGGGCUACACACGUGCUACAAUGGUGCGCACAGAGGGCUGCAAACCCGCGAGGGGGAGCCAAUCUCACAAAACGCAUCGUAGUCCGGAUCGCAGUCUGCAACUCGACUGCGUGAAGUCGGAAUCGCUAGUAAUCGUGAAUCAGAAUGUCACGGUGAAUACGUUCCCGGGCCUUGUACACACCGCCCGUCACACCAUGGGAGUGGAUUGCACCAGAAGUGGUUAGUCUACCUUCGGGAGGACGAUCACCACGGUGUGGUUCAUGACUGGGGUGAAGUCGUAACAAGGUAGCCGUAGGGGAACCUGCGGCUGGAUCACCUCCUU
rnacentral:rRNA from 1 species